rnacentral:tRNA from 1 species
GGGGUUGUGGCUCAGUGGCAGAGCACUUGCCUAGCAUGUGUGAGGCAUUGGGUUCAAUUCUCAGCACCUCA